rnacentral:rRNA from 1 species
GACGAACGCUGGCGGCGUGCUUAACACAUGCAAGUCGAACGAAGUGGCGAACGGGUGAGUAACGCGUAAACAACCUGCCCUUCAGCGGGGGACAACAGUUGGAAACGACUGCUAAUACCGCAUACUGAAGGAGUGGAGUGCGUAUGAUUAGCUAGUUGGAGGGGUAACGGCCACACAAGACGAGGAUCAGUAGCGAGUCGGAGAGGAUGAACGGCCACAUUGGGACUAAGAAACAGCCCAGACUCCUACGGGAGGCAGCAGUGGGGAAUCUUCCGCAAUGGACGAAAGUCUGACGGAGCAACGCCGCGUGAGUGAUGACGGCCUUCGGGUUGUUAAGCUCUGUUAAUCGGGACGCGGUACCGGAAUAGAAAGCCACGGCUAACUACGUGCCAGCAGCCGCGGUAAUUG